rnacentral:rRNA from 1 species
UACGUAGGGUGCGAGCGUUGUCCGGAAUUAUUGGGCGUAAAGGGCUCGUAGGCGGUUUGUCGCGUCGGGAGUGAAAACCCCGGGCUUAACUCGGUGCUUGCUUUCGAUACGGGCAGACUAGAGGUAUUCAGGGGAGAACGGAAUUCCUGGUGUAGCGGUGAAAUGCGCAGAUAUCAGGAGGAACACCGGUGGCGAAGGCGGUUCUCUGGGAAUAUCCUGACGCUGAGGAGCGAAAGUGUGGGGAGCGAACAGG